rnacentral:rRNA from 1 species
UACGGAGGGUUCAAGCGUUAUCCGGAUUCACUGGGUUUAAAGGGUGCGUAGGUGGGCAGGUAAGUCAGUGGUGAAAUCUCUGGGCUUAACCCGGAAACUGCCGUUGAUACUAUCUGUCUUGAAUAUAGUGGAGGUGAGCGGAAUAUGUCAUGUAGCGGUGAAAUGCUUAGAUAUGACAUAGAACAUCGAUUGCGAAGGCAGCUCGCUACACUAUGAUUGACACUGAGGCACGAAAGCGUGGGGAUCAAACAGG